rnacentral:sRNA from 1 species
UAGCAAUCUCUCUGGAAGCCAUGACCAAGUUGUGAAUAUCACAGUUCCUAAAGAUUGCCUCUUUGGUGACGUAGACUGGAAUUAUCCCAGGGGUUCUCUUCUCUUGUCUCAUGCCACGGGAGG